UACGUAGGGGGCAAGCGUUGUCCGGAUUUAUUGGGCGUAAAGAGCGUGUAGGCGGCUAGGUAGGUCCGUUGUGAAAACUCGAGGCUCAACCUCGAGACGCCGAUGGAAACCAUCUGGCUAGAGUCCGGAAGAGGAGAGUGGAAUUCCUGGUGUAGCGGUGAAAUGCGCAGAUAUCAGGAAGAACACCCGUGGCUAAGGCGGCUCUCUAGUACGGUACUGACGCUGAGACGCGAAAGCGUGGGGAGCAAACAGG
rnacentral:rRNA from 1 species